rnacentral:rRNA from 1 species
GACGAACGCUGGCGGCGUGCUUAACACAUGCAAGUCGAACGAGAAUCAAUGGAUAGAGGAUUCGUCCAAUUGAAGUUGAGGAAAGUGGCGGACGGGUGAGUAACGCGUGAGGAACCUGCCUUUCAGAGGGGGACAACAGUUGGAAACGACUGCUAAUACCGCAUAACGCAUAGAGGUCGCAUGAUCUUUAUGCCAAAGAUUUAUCGCUGAAAGAUGGCCUCGCGUCUGAUUAGCUAGUUGGUGAGGUAACGGCCCACCAAGGCGACGAUCAGUAGCCGGACUGUGAGGUUGACCGGCCACAUUGGGACUGAGAUACGGCCCAGACUCCUACGGGAGGCAGCAGUGGGGAAUAUUGGGCAAUGGGCGCAAGCCUGACCCAGCAACGCCGCGUGAAGGAAGAAGGCUUUCGGGUUGUAAACUUCUUUGACAGGGGAAGAGUAGAAGACGGUACCCUGAAAACAAGCCACGGCUAACUACGUGCCAGCCGCCGCGGUAACAC